GGGUUGUGAGGUUAAGCGACUAAGCGUACACGGUGGAUGCCCUGGCAGUCAGAGGCGAUGAAGGACGUGCUAAUCUGCGAUAAGCGUCGGUAAGGUGAUAUGAACCGUUAUAACCGGCGAUUUCCGAAUGGGGAAACCCAGUGUGAUUCGUCACACUAUCAUUAACUGAAUCCAUAGGUUAAUGAGGCGAACCGGGGGAACUGAAACAUCUAAGUACCCCGAGGAAAAGAAAUCAACCGAGAUUCCCCCAGUAGCGGCGAGCGAACGGGGAGGAGCCCAGAGCCUGAAUCAGUGUGUGUGUUAGUGGAAGCGUCUGGAAAGGCGCGCGAUACAGGGUGACAGCCCCGUACACAAAAAUGCACAUAUUGUGAGCUCGAUGAGUAGGGCGGGACACGUGGUAUCCUGUCUGAAUAUGGGGGGACCAUCCUCCAAGGCUAAAUACUCCUGACUGACCGAUAGUGAACCAGUACCGUGAGGGAAAGGCGAAAAGAACCCCGGCGAGGGGAGUGAAAAAGAACCUGAAACCGUGUACGUACAAGCAGUGGGAGCACGCUUAGGCGUGUGACUGCGUACCUUUUGUAUAAUGGGUCAGCGACUUAUAUUCUGUAGCAAGGUUAACCGAAUAGGGGAGCCGAAGGGAAACCGAGUCUUAACUGGGCGUUAAGUUGCAGGAUAUAGACCCGAAACCCGGUGAUCUAGCCAUGGGCAGGUUGAAGGUUGGGUAACACUAACUGGAGGACCGAACCGACUAAUGUUGAAAAAUUAGCGGAUGACUUGUGGCUGGGGGUGAAAGGCCAAUCAAACCGGGAGAUAGCUGGUUCUCCCCGAAAGCUAUUUAGGUAGCGCCUCGUGAAUUCAUCUCCGGGGGUAGAGCACUGUUUCGGCAAGGGGGUCAUCCCGACUUACCAACCCGAUGCAAACUGCGAAUACCGGAGAAUGUUAUCACGGGAGACACACGGCGGGUGCUAACGUCCGUCGUGAAGAGGGAAACAACCCAGACCGCCAGCUAAGGUCCCAAAGUCAUGGUUAAGUGGGAAACGAUGUGGGAAGGCCCAGACAGCCAGGAUGUUGGCUUAGAAGCAGCCAUCAUUUAAAGAAAGCGUAAUAGCUCACUGGUCGAGUCGGCCUGCGCGGAAGAUGUAACGGGGCUAAACCAUGCAC
rnacentral:rRNA from 1 species